CCAACGGCCUGAGGUGGCGGCGGGCGGACUGGGCGCGCGGGCCUCGCGAGCGGUCGCGGGGAACCGCCGUCCCGGCGAACCGCCGUCCCGGGACACCGGGCCUGCGGCGGCGCCAUGGGCCUGCUGCCCGCUCACCUGCCUCUGCUCUCGGCCGCCUUCCUCCGGAACAGCCGCGACCCGGCGGCGGAGGCCUCGCGGCGCCCGCGGGUUUCUUAUGUAAUUCGAGAUGAAGUGGAGAAAUACAAUCGGAAUGGAGUCAAUGCCCUGCAACUGGACCCAGCACUCAACAGACUCUUCACAGCAGGUCGAGACUCCAUCAUAAGAAUAUGGAGUGUCAAUCAGCACAAGCAAGAUCCGUACAUAGCAUCUAUGGAGCACCAUACAGACUGGGUAAAUGAUGUCGUGCUCUGUUGCAAUGGGAAAACGCUAAUUUCUGCUUCUUCAGACACAACAGUCAAAGUCUGGAAUGCACAUAAAGGGUUCUGCAUGUCCACACUCAGGACGCAUAAGGACUAUGUAAAGGCCUUAGCGUACGCCAAGGAUAAAGAGCUGGUAGCGUCAGCUGGGCUGGACAGACAGAUAUUCCUUUGGGAUGUGAACACUCUGACGGCACUGACUGCCUCAAACAACACCGUUACAACUUCUUCUUUAAGUGGGAACAAAGACUCCAUUUAUAGCCUGGCCAUGAACCAACUGGGAACAAUCAUUGUAUCAGGGUCCACUGAGAAGGUUCUGAGAGUGUGGGAUCCAAGAACCUGCGCGAAACUCAUGAAGCUGAAAGGACAUACGGACAAUGUGAAGGCCUUGCUGCUGCACAGGGACGGCACACAGUGCCUCUCUGGGAGUUCUGACGGGACCAUUCGCCUGUGGUCCCUUGGCCAGCAGAGAUGUAUAGCAACAUACCGAGUCCAUGAUGAAGGUGUUUGGGCCCUACAGGUCAACGAUGCCUUUACACAUGUAUAUUCUGGAGGACGAGACAGGAAAAUCUACUGCACAGACCUAAGGAACCCUGACAUUCGGGUACUGAUUUGUGAAGAAAAAGCACCAGUUCUCAAGAUGGAACUUGACAGAUCAGCAGAUCCCCCUCCUGCAAUCUGGGUUGCAACAACAAAGUCCACAGUAAAUAAGUGGACACUGAAGGGAAUUCAUAAUUUUCGAGCCUCUGGUGAUUAUGACAAUGAUUGUACAAACCCCAUAACGCCCCUCUGCACACAGCCCGACCAAGUUAUUAAAGGGGGCGCUAGUAUUAUUCAGUGCCACAUCCUAAAUGACAAGCGACACAUAUUAACCAAAGAUACGAAUAACAAUGUGGCGUACUGGGAUGUAUUGAAGGCAUGCAAAGUGGAAGAUUUGGGCAAAGUGGACUUUGAAGAUGAAAUUAAGAAAAGAUUUAAAAUGGUGUAUGUUCCAAAUUGGUUCUCAGUAGACCUAAAAACAGGGAUGCUGACCAUUACCCUGGAUGAGAGUGACUGCUUCGCUGCCUGGGUUUCUGCGAAAGAUGCUGGCUUUAGCAGUCCUGAUGGGUCAGACCCAAAACUGAACUUAGGAGGACUUCUACUACAGGCACUGCUGGAAUACUGGCCCAGGACACAUGUGACUCCCAUGGAUGAAGAAGAGAAUGAAGUGAACCAUGUGAGUGGGGGACAGGAGAGCAGAGUCCAGAAGGGAAAUGGUUAUUUCCAAGUGCCCCCACACACCCCGGUGAUCUUUGGAGAAGCUGGAGGUCGCACACUAUUCAGUUCCUGAGCGUGGUAACCAAACUACAGCCCUCACCACAGCCGAGGUCUGGGCUGUGCAUGGCACUGGCUAGGCCCUGGGCUGAGUGCUCCUUGUGGUGACCCAGGACUCAGAAGCAGCUCUCCCGUCACCUCUGCUGUCCGCAGUGAGCACUGUGAGGGUUUCUCCUCUGAUGUCUCCUGCUCGUCUUAACACUGACUACCUGAUGGGUUGUGUCUAGGCUGCUCUGCCGGGACUCCGGGGGUGAGACUGAGGCGAUGCUUCUCAAUGAGACGGUGCCACAAUGGGUGAUUGACAUCACUGUGGAUAAAAAUAUGCCCAAAUUCAACAAAAUUCCUUUCUACCUCCAACCUCAUGCAUCUUCAGGAGCAAAAACUUUAAAAAAAGACAGGCUGUCUGCCAGUGACAUGCUGCAGGUCCGGAAGGUGAUGGAGCACGUCUACGAGAAGAUUAUCAACCUGGACAAUGAGUCCCAAACCACCAGCUCUUCUAAUAAUGAAAAGCCAGAGCAGGAGAAGGAGGAGGACAUCGCGGUAUUGGCAGAGGAGAAAAUUGAACUUCUGUGCCAGGACCAGGUUUUGGACCCAAAUAUGGACCUUCGGACAGUAAAGCACUUCAUAUGGAAGAGUGGUGGGGACCUCACCCUCCAUUACCGUCAGAAGUCCACGUGAGGGUGGGCCCAUGCUCCUGGGUUCUUCACCAACCACCUUUCUCUGUGGCCCCAAGAGUAGUCCUAGGAAGCCCACCACGUCCUACGGGAGCAAGACCUCCAACCGGCCUAUUUGGUGACGUGACUAAUGGAGAUGUAAUAUAGAAACCAGGCUCCAUGCAUAGAUUAAGGUGUCCCCAGGGACUCAAGAGUGCAAGGACAAGCCCCUGGCACUGUCCGGGGAGAUGUACAGAGAAUCUACAACAGGCCAGUGCAGACUUCGCUGACUCCUUUUGAAGGACCCCCCUUUGUCUCUUAGCACUUGUUAGAGAACAUCAGCGGGGCCACAUCAGUCGCCAUGUUUCAGUUUCAAACCCACAGGCUCUGCAGCUUUUCCAAGUACAUUCCACUCAUGCAGUACCUAUGAAGGCUUUUUCCAAAUUUGUCAUUAUAUAAAAAAAAACAAGUUGUUUUCACUAUGUAAGAGUUAUUUUUAAUGGAAAUCACUGUUGCACAAUUCAAGAGCCAGCCCAUUUCCUGAGAAAUGACCAUGUUGGGCUACUUUUGAAAUGCCACGUCUCAGCUGUGCUCUUGUAGGAAGACCUGCAACUCCAGGGCUGGAGCCUGCGCAGCACGUGGACCUGCAGGCUGCCACCCACAGCCUGUGCUGCGCAGUGCUGCCCAUGGCGCCCUGGCUGUCCGAUAGCCCAAGCUGCUGUGGCCACUCCUUCCGCCAGUCUUCCUCGCGGGCAAAGCCAGCGAAGCCACAGCUUCCUGCUCCGCGUGAGCAGCACGACAACUGUCAGAACUUACGGCCAUGCUGAAGUUGCAGUUUCAUUCAGAUGCUACCUAAAGUUUAUGUUACUAGAGUAAAAAGAUCUCACAGUGAGUUGGUUUGAUAUUUAUAUUGUGGUUCAUGUUUGUUUUUCCAGUUUUAUACACGGGCUUUUGUUACGCCUUCGUCCAGGUCUUUCUGCCGUCUUUCUAACAGUCAAAAGCUUUCAUAGACUCACUUGGAUCUUGUACAGAAUAUUAACUUAUUGGGGAUAAACACUUCAACUUUUGGCAAAAACUACUUUGGAUUCUUCCCAAGGUCAUUUACAUUCAGACAAAUGGUCCAGCCCGUGAAGCUGCAGGAGAUGAACCUUUGAGCACAGCGGAAGCACACGUGCCUUGGGGGUGGGGGGUGCAGCUUUCCCCAUCCGUCCGUCUGCUCCUGCCUUGUGUGUGUGGUCCCUGCCCACAGGAGCACAGGGGAGGGGGGCUUGGGGAAGAAAGAUGUUUUCUCUCUAUCUCACAGGUCCUGCAGGGAACAGCUGAGGGGCCCAGAUCUGUCCCUUACAAAUUGACUGCAGAACAGGGUCCCCUCACUUAACUCUGGAACACAGACAGGCCAUGGCUUCCAUACCCUCAAGUGAGCAAGAACACUUGCCAGUGUUAAACCAUUCUCCGCCCUAGAGUAGCCAGCUUUUCUACAGAAGUCCUUUCUAUGCUGGACACAUCGGUGCACUUUUGGUGCAUAUUUUUUAGUGAUAGCUAUAAAGUAAAAGCAGGGGGUGGGGUGGUCGUGUUUGCAGGAGGGGCCUCUGCACUAAGCGUAGGGUUUGCUGGUUGGUUCACUGGCGCAGUACUGAUCCACAGGCAGUUGUGCCCCUAUGGAGGAGUUUACCCCAGCAUGGUUGUAAUUUUUUCCCCAGCUAGUCAAAAAUCAGUACUAAGUUUCCAGAAAACUGGACAGUCUGCAACGCCAAAGGGGCAGAGUCUGUAUCUCGGGUUGUAUAGAAUAAAGCUUUAGUUACAAACA